AUUUAACAUAAGAGGUGGCUAUAAAGGUAGAAAAGGGCAUAUAUAUGAUAUGAUAUGAUAUAUAUGAAGGGCAUAUAAGAUGAUAUGAAGGUGGAAGUGAUAAGAUAUGGCAUUCUCCCAGUUUCACAGAUUUGAAAAAAGUGCAAGGAAUAUAAGAGGUGUUUUCAUUUGAGUUUGUCCUUUUGUAGAAGAGGAACUUGAAAUUCAGCAGUGUUGUGACUUGAUAGUUGGUUAGUAAAAGAGUUAGGACUAGAACUUAGGUCUUGUGGCUCAUAGUCCAGUGAUCCUAUCACAUUCUUAUUCUACUUCCUCAUACUUUUCCUUUUACUUCUGGUACUGUUUAUCUGCUAAUUAAUGAAGCUUCAUUAAUUGAUUUGAUAGUUUAGCUUUACUUCUGGCAUAAAACUAAAAAACAGAGAUAUCACUCUUUCACAAAAGUUUUGAUGUAGAAAUAUAAUAAUUUAUUUAGAACAAAAAUUAGUUAAUUCACUUUUAAGACUUCUAAACAUCUCAAUACCAUGUAGAAUAAGUCAAACAUUAAUUACAAAGGGCAUAAUGUAUUACUUAAUUGACAUAAAACUUAUUGUAAAACCACUUCAAUUUAAAAAAAUUAUUAGUUUUCCUUGGGCUUUGGCCCUACCGAAAGUUAUGGAAGUUAGUUUUCAAGAGUUGGAGUUCAAGUGUUAUAUACCAUAAUAAUAUAUCCAUAUUAACUUAGUAGUUGUAACUUGUUUUAAUCGCCUCUCUCCCUUAAAUUCUCCUGUUUGAAUUCAUAGCAACCAACUUUUGCAUAGCUCUCAAUUCUGUACUCUUGCUUUUCUGGAUUUUCAGCUAAACUGCCUUGUACUUUGGAGCAAGGUCUGUUUGUCAGCACAUAGUCUAGCCCAAAUCUUGUCCUAAUUUAAUAGCAGCCCCAAUUUCUCACUGUGAAUCACACAUUUUAUCUCAGCAGUUCUAACAACCAAAUGUAGAUUGAAAUGAGUUAACCUAUUACAUACCAAAAAAUAAUAAUAAUAAAGAAAGCAUAAAACAAGUUUCUUUAUAUUCUUCUGUCUUAAUUGUAUGACUCUACUGAGACUUCAUAACCUCUGGUAUGGAUAACUGUAAUAAUCUUGUAAUUCAACUACAUGCCUCCAAGUUCCUCCACCUUUUCUUCUUUGUAUCAACAAAACAUCUUGCUCUUACCAUUUUAACCUUCCUGCACCUUCAUCGCAUCAUGUUCCUGAUCAAGGAGCCAAUGAUUGUUUCUCUUGUCUGUUAGAUCAUCUUAUUUAUCCACUAAUUUCCAUUUUUACUUAAUUCAAUAAGGUUAUUCUUAUUGUCCCUUAUCACAAAUACUCAUUACAUAGGAAUGAAAAGAGAAUAUGGAUAAUAAGGGAGAUUGCCUGCUUAGUAAUUUAUUCUUACUACAUAGAAAAUGAAUAGGUAUAUAUAACAAAGGUGAAUUAGCUGGGCAGUGAAUUCUACAAGCCCUCUUUCAAUAGUCCAUCAUGCGUACAAUAAUUUCUACAAGAACAAAUAAAAAAUUUGUAUGAGCAGGGUGGCCAAACAACAAGUCUUUUCUUUUGAUCUCCUAUAGAAAAUUAGUUAUGGAAAGGGCUGUUUUUUAGUUAUGAAAUAGUGGCAGGGUAAUAACAUGAAUGCAUAGGCAAUAGAGAUGUAUAGCAGUUGUUAGUAAUAUAAUUCAGUAGUAGAUAAAUAG
ensembl:lncRNA